ACGCCGUAAACGAUGAGUGCUAGGUGUUAGGCCCUUUCCGGGGCUUAGUGCCGCAGCUAACGCAUUAAGCACUCCGCCUGGGGAGUACGACCGCAAGGUUGAAACUCAAAGGAAUUGACGGGGGCCCGCACAAGCGGUGGAGCAUGUGGUUUAAUUCGAAGCAACGCGAAGAACCUUACCAGGUCUUGACAUCCCGAUGCCCGCUCUAGAGAUAGAGUUUUACUUCGGUACAUCGGUGACAGGUGGUGCAUGGUUGUCGUCAGCUCGUGUCGUGAGAUGUUGGGUUAAGUCCCGCAACGAGCGCAACCCUUAUUGUUAGUUGCCAUCAUUCAGUUGGGCACUCUAGCGAGACUGCCGGUAAUAAACCGGAGGAAGGUGGGGAUGACGUCAAAUCAUCAUGCCCCUUAUGACCUGGGCUACACACGUGCUACAAUGGCUGGUACAACGAGUCGCAAGUCGGUGACGGCAAGCUAAUUUAAAGCCAGUCUCAGUUCGGAUUGUAGGCUGCAACUCGCCUACAUGAAGUCGGAAUCGCUAGUAAUCGCGGAUCAGCACGCCGCGGUGAAUACGUUCCCGGGCCUUGUACACACCGCCCGUCACACCACGAGAGUUUGUAACACCCGAAGUCGGUG
rnacentral:rRNA from 1 species